rnacentral:rRNA from 1 species
CAGUAGCCGCGGGAAUACGGAGGGUGCAAGCGUUAAUCGGAAUUACUGGGCGUAAAGCGCACGCAGGCGGUCUGUCAAGUCGGAUGUGAAAUCCCCGGGCUCAACCUGGGAACUGCAUUCGAAACUGGCAGGCUAGAGUCUUGUAGAGGGGGGUAGAAUUCCAGGUGUAGCGGUGAAAUGCGUAGAGAUCUGGAGGAAUACCGGUGGCGAAGGCGGCCCCCUGGACAAAGACUGACGCUCAGGUGCGAAAGCGUGGGGAGCAAACAGGAUUAGAUACCCGUGUAGUCCCUGUCUCUUAUAA